ACAUUCCACAGUUUGGCUGUGUGAGGAAAGGGGGAUGUACUAUAAGGGGUUAUUUUAGUGUGACUGACAUCCACAGAGAAACAGUGGACAUCGCAGGCAAGACGAGAAGUGAAUGCUGCAUGCACGGCUGUCUCGUAAUGUUAUGUGCUUUUAGGGUAAGAAAUUGUCCCAGAUAAAAAAAGUAAUGUUUAUUACACCAACUUUCAUAUUUUAUAAUCAUCUUAUACAGCAAAUAGAACUUCAUAUAUAUACAGUAAAUUGAAAAUUUGGGGCAUCGCGUACACCAUGUUGUCUUACACUCCACUAUAUACAGGUACAGUAUUUAUAUGCAAUCACUAAACAUAUUCUUAAGAUUUAUUUGUGUGGAUCUCUCUUAAUUUCACCCUUAAUUUUAGGUGUGGCCACUGCAAGCGCAUGGCCCCAACAUAUGAUGAGUUGGGUCGCAAGUUUGUUGGCCAUGACCAGGUGAAGAUAGCUAAAGUGGAUUGUACACAGGAGGUGAAUAGAGCCUUGUGCAGCGAGCAAAACGUAAAUGGAUUUCCAACUUUGUAUCUGUACAAGAAUGCCAAUCACAUUGGAGAAUACAAUGGAGAUCGCUCUUUGAACGACAUGGUCUCUUUCAUCACUAGACACUUGGAGCAUGAUGAACUUUAGUUCUUGUAGAUAUUUACUGGGACUUAAAGCCAAUUAAUGUGUCAUCUACCAGAAGUGAUAGGGCACCCGCUGGCUGACUAGCGAGGUGUUCAUCUAGGGUAAAAAAUGCCUUGUUAAGACGUUAGAUGACAUUGUUCAAUAACUAUUAGGUACAAGUUCAUACGGAAUUAUUAGAUAAUUCUUAUAUUUUAUAAAUAUUGUUUAGCGACUACUAGAUGGAGGUCAAUUUUUCAGUGAAUUGUUGAAGUGUGCCAGAUAUGUUGUAUAAUACUGUAUCUUGUUCUCCUUAUAGUACAGUAUAAUAAUAGGAAUUAAUAAUUGCCACUACUUUGGGGGGGGGGGGCUCAGAUAUAACUUAUCUAGUUUCUGUUCUUAAUAACAGUGAAUGUAUUUUUGAAAUUUUAAAGAUUAUUGUAUUUUUACUCGUGCCAAGCAAAGUACAUUAUCACCAUUGUACAGCAAUAUGUAAGUACCAUUAUUCCCUGGUUAUAACUUUAUUAUCUUCAGGGUAAUAACCAUCGUAUGCUGUAUAGUAACUUCAACCAUUAAAGAAGUUUUACUUGGCUUUAUACUGUAGUUUAUACAUAAGAAAAUGUAUUGUUUUCUGAGUGAAUAAUAUAUCAGGGUAUAUUUUGUAUUUUGCUGUGAAAUGUGUCUAGCAUUAUCCAAUUGUCUGUUGAAAAUAGGGUUGUUUAAUUUUUAUAUUACUUGUCCCAGGCAAGUGACUUAAGCAAUUUACUUGCCUGGAUAGUUUUUCUUUACUUGCCCUGACAAAUUUGGGAGGAACUUUGCUUGCCCAGUUUUUUUUUUUAGGUAAAAUGUUAAAUAAGCACAAUAAAAUCAGUUUGUAUCAAC